CAGCCGCCGCGGUAAUACAGAGGAUGCAAGCGUUAUCCGGAAUGAUUGGGCGUAAAGCGUCUGUAGGUGGCUUUUCAAGUCCGCCGUCAAAUCCCAGGGCUCAACCCUGGACAGGCGGUGGAAACUACCAAGCUGGAGUACGGUAGGGGCAGAGGGAAUUUCCGGUGGAGCGGUGUAAUGCGUUGAGAUCGGAAAGAACACCGACGGCGAAGGCAGCCCCCUGGGAUAACACUGACGCUCAUGCACGAAAGCGUGGGGAGCAAACAGGAUUAGAUACCCCCGUAGUCCCUGUCUCUUAUAC
rnacentral:rRNA from 1 species